rnacentral:rRNA from 1 species
AUGCAGUCGAGGGGCAGCAUCAUCAAAGCUUGCUUUGAUGGAUGGCGACCGGCGCACGGGUGAGUAACACGUAUCCAACCUGCCGACAACACUGGGAUAGCCUUUCGAAAGAAAGAUUAAUACCGGAUGGUAUAGUUUUCCCGCAUGGGAUGAUUAUUAAAGAAUUUCGGUUGUCGAUGGGGAUGCGUUCCAUUAGGCAGUUGGCGGGGUAACGGCCCACCAAACCUACGAUGGAUAGGGGUUCUGAGAGGAAGGUCCCCCACAUUGGAACUGAGACACGGUCCAAACUCCUACGGGAGGCAGCAGUGAGGAAUAUUGGUCAAUGGACGAGAGUCUGAACCUGCCAAGUAGCGUGAAGGAUGACUGCCCUAUGGGUUGUAAACUUCUUUUAUACGGGAAUAAAGUGAGCCACGUGUGGCUUUUUGUAUGUACCGUAUGAAUAAGGAUCGGCUAACUCCGUGCCAGCAGCCGCGGUAAUACGGAGGAUCCGAGCGUUAUCCGGAUUUAUUGGGUUUAAAGGGAGCGUAGGCGGGUUGUUAAGUCAGUUGUGAAAGUUUGCGGCUCAACCGUAAAAUUGCAGUUGAUACUGGCGACCUUGAGUGCAACAGAGGUAGGCGGAAUUCGUGGUGUAGCGGUGAAAUGCUUA